rnacentral:rRNA from 1 species
CAAGUCGAACGCUGAUUCAAGGUAGCAAUAUUUUGAAGUCGGAGUGGCGCAAGGGUGCGUAACACGUGGGCAAUCUGCCGUGAAGCCUGGAAUAACUCGCUGAAAGGCGAGCUAAUACCGGAUGUGAACGCAAGUUCAAAGCUGGGGACCGCAAGGCCUGGCACUUUACGAUGAGCCCGCGGCCUAUCAGCUAGUUGGUGAGGUAACGGCCCACCAAGGCUAAGACGGGUAGCUGGUCUGAGAGGACGACCAGCCACACUGGAACUGAGACACGGUCCAGACACCUACGGGUGGCAGCAGUCGAGAAUUUUUCUCAAUGGGCGAAAGCCUGAAGGAGCGACGCCGCGUGGGGGAUGAAUGGCUUCGGCCCGUAAACCCCUGUCAUUUGCGAACAAAUUGGUUCACCUAACACGUGAACCAUUGAUAGUAGCGGAAGAGGAAGGGACGGCUAACUCUGUGCCAGCAGCCGCGGU